UGCUCACAAAUUGAGCAACAGCCGUUAUAAUAAAAAGUCUGGAGAGUUAAGAGAUAGUUUGUGCUAUCGCUUGCUUGUUUUUUGGUGUGAGCGUUGAGUGUUUUUUUUGUUAGCGCGACUUGUAUGAUUAUUAAUGAAUAAUGAAGCGGGUACGAGGGAAUUAUAUUGUGUAAGGAAGGCUCAGUGUCGGUUUCGUCACAAGUCGGUUAAUCGUGCUGGAAAGAUACUAUGAAAUUCAAGAUUUUGUGUUUGCAUUUUAUGUUUAUUUCAGGUAUGUUUUUCGAUGUUUUUUUUUCUAAAUGAAAGGUAGAUAUAGAAUCUGAUGAAACUAAAGCGGUCGAUCCGUUAUACGCAUUCCCAAGGCCAAAGCGGACAAAUGUCAUCAGUCGCGUGCAUGUGGACAGUUUUGUGUCAUAUAUGAUCUUAUCUGAGUAAAUGUGAAACGAGAAUUAUGAAGUUGGUAAGCGAGAGUUUGCACGACAGCGCUUUUCUGGCUCAACUUUCGUGCCCCAGUCGAACGAAAACAAGUGUUGCACUGCAGAUAGCAUAUAGUUGAUGAGAGUUGACUAGAUAUUAUCAACUAGAAUCGGAGAGUUGAUGACGGUUGUGAAGCGAGAGUUUGCAUGAGAGUUUUCUCAACUCGCAUGCCCCGGUCACUCGAGAACACAAGAGUUGUAUGAGAGUUGAUGAGAGUUGACUGGAUAUUACCGCACGCGUAGCGGAAACUCGAGUCUCAUCAACUCUCAUCAAAAUCUGAACCAUGACCAUUUCAAAAUUGACCGGAGAGUGGACUAUGUCUAAAACCAGUCUCGCUUGGUUUUAGCGGUCUCAUUAACGGCGAAAGCAUGCGGUAUAAUCAGUUAGAGCUCUUCGACAUGAGCACAAGGUGUCAAGGUAUAUAAAAGGCAUUUCAAAAGAAUAUACUCUUGUCUCUUCUCUUUGUUUUAAUCGUGCAGUACAGCAACGCCAACGGGCAACGGGAAAACAAAAGCCGACAAAUUUGAAAAUAACUUCUAAGCUUGUGUAUUCAGUACUGAAUCCACAUUACCUGGGCAGAGUUUUAAAAAUUCGUAUUUUUGUAUUGUUUUAAAAAAAAAUUGUAUGAUAAAAAACUGAGAAUUCAAUUCAGCAAUAUUUUACAUCGACAAAAAUUCCGUCCUCCCCAACAUGAGUAAUGUUGUCUGAUGUUAAUAUUUGCCGUCAAGUGAGCAAAAUUUCCCAUUGCAUUUGACUUUUAAUUAUUCAUUUUUUAAUUUUCCACAGUGAUACAUGUCUGUGCUAAUAACCGUCACCGAGUACCUGUUUAGUGUCGAGAGUACUCUCAAAUUGGUGUUUGUAUUACAUUCGGCGAAUAUAAAUAUCGUCUGGUGAUGUACGUGACGUUUGCGUGUACUACUUUUAAGGCAGCAUUCAUUUUACAAAAGAAGCGACAACGAGCAAAGUAAUGGGGAGAGGGGGGUGAUCAACCAAGGGGUCUGCAUGGGGCUGAUUCUCGCUCUGAACUGACAUUUUGCCGGAUUUCAAAGCCUCAGAAAGGCAUUUCCGAUAGCCCGACUAUUCAGUGUUCGUUAAAACAGCCUCCAUAUUAUAACCAAUCUUUCGAAGAUGCAACUAUCUGAGAGAUAUGAGAAGAAUUUCGACGUUUUCGAGCGAAGGCACUUCGACUUCGUCUGCAGUUACUAGCGGGGCUCGGGAAUAUUACACUGUACUCUAUAGCUAUUACAUGAGCUUUUAUACUAAGAAUAUAAUAGCGAGAAAUUGAGAAUAUAACACCAGCCUGACUAAGAAAAUAUAUAUUUCAGAGGGCAUGCAAUGUAAACCGUAUAAAAGAAAAUUGCGGAAAAAGAACGUCAAAAUCUAAAAUUCAAAUUCAUGAAGCUAUAGCAUAAAAUCUUCAUCAGUGUUGUUGACAGCUGCUAUCAAUAAUCUUUAGGACCCUAACAUUAUUGAAAGUAUAUUUACAUAGCAGUGGCUUUGUGGCUGUGGAACAAUAAAACCGAAUGAAUACUGAUUCAAAGUGAAAAUCAUGAUAUUAAUUUGACUCUGAAAAUGAAAUGGUUCAAGAAUUGAGGUUCUUUUACAUUACAUGUUAAGCAUAAAGUUGAAAGUUAAACUUAAAAAUCUCAAUGCAUGUAUAUCUCAGUCAGAUAAAUUACAUUGAUAAUAUAAAAUGCAAAACAUAUAUUCAAGUUUUUCAAGUGCAUGACAGUUUAUCACCGUGGACAGUUUAUCAGAAAGCUUUCCGUAGAGGCGCGAAGAAGCACCUAUAUCCGAUAUGGAAUGUACAACUUUCAUUAGCAACUUAGCGAAACAACAUCUCUUCGCCGACUUUUAUUAAGUAUAUAUCAAGCCGUAGUGGAAAGACUGUACUAUCAAUAGGCAAAUCAAUCUUACUAGACUCGGGUUUAGGACCCGAUAAAAGUAAUCAGGAAAAUCUCGCUUUCUGCAUAUUUGUUUGGCUGAGCUUUUUAGUAUAUUGAGUCGCAUUUUUCGUUUUGCAAAAAACAUAACUAUAGACAUAGUGAUCAUGCUAAGUCUCAUCAGUAACCGCCCAAAAUGAUAAUAGCAUUAUUGAAUAGAAUAUAGGCGCCUUGUCAAAUUUCAUUUAAAAAUUGUAAAAUAUUGUAAUAUAUCUAGUAUAGGCAUUUUAUAUAUACUAAUUACAAAUAAAUAUAUUUCACCCUUUGUCGGACACUGGGAAAUGUAUUAUGUCUACAAAAUUACUUCUGUAAACGUUUUAGAAUUUGAUAUGUCUCUCUCGUUUUUCAGUCGCGAUGUAAAACCAACUUAUAAAGUGUGAAAUAUAUAAAUGAAGUUCGAACUACGCGCAGUGUGUUCCGAAAUUUGAGUCUUAGAUUUCGUUUUAUCCAAGGUUUUAUUUUAUCGUCACUGACUCUAAUUCGAUACAUUCAAUGUUCUACAGUGCCUGCAUAAAAAUAUUGUCGAUAUUUUUUUCUACUAAUAUUUUUAUUUUUGGAACUGCGGUGUUUAUUCAUAGAAGUUUGUUUUCAGUUUCAGAGAAAGUAAUUGCUUUCCCGCAGCGACGAACUCCAACAGCGCAAGAGAAAUUAUACGAAAAUGUUUUGAAGAAUUACAGCAAGAGUUCAAGGCCAGUUAAUGAUCCGAAUAAAGCUUUAAAUUUAUCUUUCAAUUUUGAACUGACGAAAAUUUACGAUGUG